rnacentral:rRNA from 1 species
GAUGAACGCUGGCGGCGUGCCUAAUACAUGCAAGUCGAGCGAACAGACGAGGAGCUUGCUCCUCUGACGUUAGCGGCGGACGGGUGAGUAACACGUGGAUAACCUACCUAUAAGACUGGGAUAACUUCGGGAAACCGGAGCUAAUACCGGAUAAUAUAUUGAACCGCAUGGUUCAAUAGUUAAAUACGGUUUUGCUGUCACUUAUAGAUGGAUCCGCGCCGCAUUAGCUAGUUGGUAAGGUAACGGCUUACCAAGGCAACGAUGCGUAGCCGACCUGAGAGGGUGAUCGGCCACACUGGAACUGAGCCACGGUCCCGACUCCUACGGGAGGCAGCAGUAGGGAAUCUUACGCAAUGGGCGAAAGCCUGACGGAGCACCGCCGCGUGAGUGAUGAAGGUCUUCGGAUCGUAAAACUCUGUUAUUAGGGAAGAACAAAUGUGUAAGUAACUAUGCACGUCUUGACGGUACCUAAUCAGAAAGCCACGGCUAACUACGUG